GGGUCGUUAGCUCAGCUGGUAGAGCAGGAGACUCUUAAUCUCUUGGUCGGGGGUUCGACUCCCUCACGGCCUA
rnacentral:tRNA from 1 species